rnacentral:tRNA from 2 species
GGGCCUGUAGCUCAGUGGGGAGAGUAUUCGGUUCGCAUCCGAAAGGUCGAGAGUUCAAAUCUCUUCAGGUCCACCA